CAGUCGCCGCGGUAAUACGAAGGGGGCUAGCGUUGCUCGGAAUGACUGGGCGUAAAGGGCGCGUAGGCGGACAUUUAAGUCAGGGGUGAAAUCCCAGAGCUCAACUCUGGAACUGCCUUUGAUACUGGGUGUCUUGAGUGUGAUAGAGGUAUGUGGAACUCUGAGUGUAGAGGUGAAAUUCGUAGAUAUUCGGAAGAACACCAGUGGCGAAGGCGACAUACUGGAUCAUUACUGACGCUGAGGCUCGAAAGCGUGGGGAGCAAACAAGAUUAGAUACCCCCGUAGUCCCUGUCUCUUAUAC
rnacentral:rRNA from 1 species